rnacentral:rRNA from 1 species
GACGAACGCUGGCGGCGUGCUUAACACAUGCAAGUCGAACGGAAAGGCCCCAGCUUGCUGGGGUACUCGAGUGGCGAACGGGUGAGUAACACGUGGGUGAUCUGCCCUGCACUCUGGGAUAAGCCUGGGAAACUGGGUCUAAUACCGGAUAGGACCGUGCUUUAGUGUGUGCGGUGGAAAGUUUUUCGGUGCAGGAUGAGCCCGCGGCCUAUCAGCGUGUUGGUGGGGUAAUGGCCUACCAAGGCGGCGACGGGUAGCCGGCCUGAGAGGGUGUACGGCCACAUUGGGACUGAGACACGGCCCAGACUCCUACGGGAGGCAGCAGUGGGGAAUAUUGCACAAUGGGCGCAAGCCUGAUGCAGCGACGCCGCGUGGGGGAUGACGGCCUUCGGGUUGUAAACCCCUUUCGGCAGGGACGAAGCUUUUGUGACGGUACCUGCAUAAGAAGCACCGGCUAACUACGUG